rnacentral:tRNA from 1 species
GGGGAUGUAGCUCGGUAAAGCGCGUGCCCAGCAUGCACGAGGUCCUGGGUUCAAUCCCCAGCACCUCCA